GAUGAACGCUGGCGGCGUGCCUAAUACAUGCAAGUCGAGCGAACAGACGAGGAGCUUGCUCCUCUGACGUUAGCGGCGGACGGGUGAGUAACACGUGGAUAACCUACCUAUAAGACUGGGAUAACUUCGGGACACCGGAGCUAAUACCGGAUAAUAUAUUGAACCGCAUGGUUCAAUAGUGAAAGACGGUUUUGCUGUCACUUAUAGAUGGAUCCGCGCCGCAUUAGCUAGUUGGUAAGGUAACGGCUUACCAAGGCGACGAUGCGUAGCCGACCUGAGAGGGUGAUCGGCCACACUGGAACUGAGACACGGUCCAGACUCCUGAGGGAGGCAGCAGUAGGGAAUCUUCCGCAAUGGGCGAAAGCCUGACGGAGCAACGCCGCGUGAGUGAUGAAGGUCUUCGGAUCGUAAAACUCUGUUAUUAGGGAAGAACAAAUGUGUAAGUAACUAUGCACGUCUUGACGGUACCUAAUCAGAAAGCCACGGCUAACUACGUG
rnacentral:rRNA from 1 species